rnacentral:lncRNA from 1 species
GGCGUGGUGGCGGGCGCCUGCAGUCCCAGCUGCUCCGGAGUCUGAGGGAGGAGAAUGGCGUGAACCUAGGAGGCGGAGCUUGCAGUGAGCCAAGAUCACGCCACUGCACUCCAGCCUGGAAGGCAGAGAGAGACUCCGUUUCAAAAAAGAAAAGAAUUCUGGGUUUGAAUCCUGCCUCUCCGUCUGCUAGGGAUAUGAUUUAGGGCAAGUUGCUUGAGCUCUUUGGGCCUCUGUUUUCACGUCUGUAUGAUAGAGGUGGUAUUGUUUGACUUGUAUUUGUGAAGUUUCAAUGAGAUUGAUAAUUGUCGAUUUUAUGUUAAUCCCUAGUACAUGGCCUGCUGUCAACACCCAGGACACCCAGGAUAUGGUCUUUGCUGUUUGAUUUUCCUCAUCCCCAGUCUCAAGGGGAAGCCAGGACAAUGAGAACAGCCACUUCCCAUCAGGAGUCACUGCAAGGCCCCCAGGGUGGGAUGGUGGGGAGAUAAGAACCGUGAGAGAAGUUGGCACAAAGGAGUUAUGGGACAAAGGGUCCAAGAUAGGCAGAAAAGAAAAUGUUGCCAGUUGAUGGGGAAGAAAGGAAGUCGGAGGGCUCAGACACUGAGGGGGACAGAACAUCUCCAUGUGCAGUCUCAUCUCUUAUAGUCAGCAACAGGUAUCCACGGGGAGGGCCCUACAUCAUCUGCUACCCUGAAGGAUCUGGAGGUAGGAGGCUCUGGGCGGAGGUGCAGUGACCCCGCAGGCCAGCCCUCCAACCUCCUCCCGCAGCGGGGACUGGGUGCCCCUCUGCCAGCUGAGACAGCCCACACACAACCCAGCCCUAAUGAUCGUUCUCUCUACCUCUCCCCCAAGUCCUCCUCCGCCUCCUCCUCUCUGCAUGCGCGUCAGAGCCCGUGCCAAGAACAAGCAGCAGUCCUGAACUCGAGGUCCAUAAAAAUCAGUCGACUGAAUGACACCAUCAAAUCUUUGAAACAACAGAAGAAACAAGUGGAACAUCAGCUGG